rnacentral:rRNA from 1 species
UACGUAGGGGGCAAGCGUUGUCCGAAUUUAUUGGGCGUAAAGAGCGUGUAGGCGGCCUGGAAGGUCAGCUGUGAAAACUCGAGGCUCAACCUCGAGACGUCGGUUGAAACCACCUGGCUAGAGUCCGGAAGAGGAGAGUGGAAUUCCCGGUGUAGCGGUGAAAUGCGCAGAUAUCGGGAAGAACACCCGUGGCGAAGGCGGCUCUCUGGGACGGUACUGACGCUGAGACGCGAAAGCGUGGGGAGCGAACAGG